UACAGAGGGUGCGAGCGUUGUCCGGAAUCACGGGGCGUAAAGGGCGCGUAGGCGGCCUGAUAAGUAGGGGGUGAAAUCCUGCAGCUCAACUGCAGGGCUGCCUCCUAAACUGUUGGGCUAGAGCACGGUAGAGGCAGAUGGAAUUCCCGGUGUAGCGGUGGAAUGCGUAGAGAUCGGGAAGAACAUCAGUGGCGAAGGCGGUCUGCUGGGCCGUUGCUGACGCUGAGGCGCGACAGCGUGGGGAGCAAACAGG
rnacentral:rRNA from 1 species